rnacentral:rRNA from 1 species
GUGGGGAAUAUUAGACAAUGGGCGAAAGCCUGAUCCAGCCAUGCCGCGUGUGUGAAGAAGGUCUUCGGAUUGUAAAGCACUUUAAGUUGGGAGGAAGGGCAGUAAGUUAAUACCUUGCUGUUUUGACGUUACCGACAGAAUAAGCACCGGCUAACUUCGUGCCAGCAGCCGCGGUAAUACGAAGGGUGCAAGCGUUAAUCGGAAUUACUGGGCGUAAAGCGCGCGAAGGUGGUUUUGUAAGUUGGAGGUGAAAUCCCCGGGCUCAACCUGUGAACUGCCUACAAAACUGCAUGACUAGAGUACGGUAGAUGGUAGUGGAAUUUCCUGUGUAGCGGUGAAAUGCGUAGAUAUAGGAAGGAACACCAGUGGCGAAGGCGACUACCUGGACUGAUACUGACACUGAGGUGCGAAAGCGUGGGGAGCAAACAGGAUUAGAAACCCUUGUAGUCC